GCGAAAGUGGCGGAAUUGGCAGACGCACCAGACUUAGGAUCUGGCGGAGCAAUCCAUGGGGGUUCGAGUCCCCCCUUUCGCACCA
rnacentral:tRNA from 1 species